rnacentral:rRNA from 1 species
UACGUAGGGCGCAAGCGUUAUCCGGAAUUAUUGGGCGUAAAGAGCUCGUAGGCGGUUUGUCACGUCUGCUGUGAAAUCCCGAGGCUCAACCUCGGGCCUGCAGUGGGUACGGGGCAGACUGGAGUGCGGUAGGGGAGAAUGGAAUUCCUGGUGUAGCGGUGGAAUGCGCAGAUAUCAGGAGGAACACCGAUGGCGAAGGC